UACGAAGGGGGCUAGCGUUGCUCGGAAUCACUGGGCGUAAAGCGCACGUAGGCGGCUUUCUAAGUCAGGGGUGAAAUCCUGGAGCUCAACUCCAGAACUGCCUUUGAUACUGGGAAGCUCGAGUCCGGAAGAGGUGAGUGGAACUCCGAGUGUAGAGGUGAAAUUCGUAGAUAUUCGGAAGAACACCAGUGGCGAAGGCGGCUCACUGGUCCGGUACUGACGCUGAGGUGCGAAAGCAUGGGGAGCGAACGGG
rnacentral:rRNA from 1 species